GUGAGUUUGGGGUGUGGGAUUCUAGGACGGUAUCCGAUCCUGUCCUUGCUGUGUUUUGUCUUAGUGGGAGUCUGUAUUGGGAUCGGGUUGAGUUAUUGGCGUCCCACUACGGCCGACGGC
rnacentral:ribozyme from 1 species